UAGUUCAGUUGGUUAGAAUACCUGCCUGUCACGCAGGGGGUCGCGGGUUCGAGUCC
rnacentral:tRNA from 2 species